GCCAGAGUCACAUAACCAGGUAGUGUGUCGGUCUCGAAAACCGAUGUCCUUCGGGACUUGUAGGUUCAAAUCCUGCCUCUGGCG
rnacentral:tRNA from 1 species